rnacentral:rRNA from 1 species
AGCAGCAGCCGCGGUAAUACAGAGGGUGCAAGCGUUAAUCGGAAUUACUGGGCGUAAAGCGCGCGUAGGUGGUUUGUUAAGUUGGAUGUGAAAUCCCCGGGCUCAACCUGGGAACUGCAUCCAAAACUGGCAAGCUAGAGUAUGGUAGAGGGUGGUGGAAUUUCCUGUGUAGCGGUGAAAUGCGUAGAUAUAGGAAGGAACACCAGUGGCGAAGGCGACCACCUGGACUGAUACUGACACUGAGGUGCGAAAGCGUGGGGAGCAAACAGGAUUAGAUACCCCGGUAGUCCCUGUCUCUUAUAC